rnacentral:rRNA from 1 species
AGAGUUUGAUCCUGGCUCAGGACGAACGCUGGCGGCGUGCCUAACACAUGCAAGUCGAGCGAAGUUAAUGCUUCGGUAUUAGCUUAGCGGCGGACGGGUGAGUAACACGUGGGUAACCUGCCUCAUAGAGGGGGAUAGCCUUCCGAAAGGGAGAUUAAUACCGCAUAAGAAGUAGAUAUCGCAUGAUAUCAGCUUUAAAGGAGUCGUUUUCGAAAGGAGACGGAUUCGCUAUGAGAUGGACCCGCGGCGCAUUAGCUAGUUGGUGAGGUAACGGCUCACCAAGGCGACGAUGCGUAGCCGACCUUAGAGGGUGAUCGGCCACAUUGGAACUGAGAAACGGUCCAGACUCCUACGGGAGGCAGCAGUGGGGAAUAUUGCACAAUGGGGGAAACCCUGAUGCAGCAACGCCGCGUGAGUGAAGAAGUUUUUCGGAAUGUAAAGCUCUGUCUUUUGGGACGAUAAUGACGGUACCAAAGGAGGAAGCCACGGCUAACUACGUGCCAGCAGCCGCGGUAAUACGUAGGUGGCGAGCGUUGUCCGGAAUUACUGGGCGUAAAGGGUGCGUAGGCGGAUAUUUAAGUGGGAUGUGAAAUCCCUGAGCUUAACUCAGGGGCUGCAUUCCAAACUGGGUAUCUAGAGUGCAGGAGAGGAAAGCGGAAUUCCUAGUGUAGCGGUGAAAUGCGUAGAGAUUAGGAAGAACAUCAGUGGCGAAGGCGGCUUUCUGGACUGUAACUGACGCUGAGGCACGAAAGCGUGGGGAGCAAACAGGAUUAGAUACCCUGGUAGUCCACGCUGUAAACAAUGAGUACUAGGUGUAGGGGGUUACAAGCCUUCUGUGCCGCAGUAAACACAAUAAGUACUCCGCCUGGGGAGUACGGUCGCAAGAUUAAAACUCAAAGGAAUUGACGGGGGCCCGCACAAGCAGCGGAGCAUGUGGUUUAAUUCGAAGCAACGCGAAGAACCUUACCCAGACUUGACAUCUGAGAGAUUUAGUAGAAAUACUGAAGUGCCUCGCAAGAGGAAUCUCAAGACAGGUGGUGCAUGGUUGUCGUCAGCUCGUGUCGUGAGAUGUUGGGUUAAGUCCCGCAACGAGCGCAACCCUUAUCAUUAGUUGCAACCAUUAAGAUGAGCACUCUAAUGAGACUGCCCGGGUUAACCGGGAGGAAGGUGGGGAUGACGUCAAAUCAUCAUGCCCCUUAUGUCUGGGGCAACACACGUGCUACAAUGGUGAGUACAGAGAGAAGCGAAGUCGUGAGGCAGAGCAAACCUUAGAAAACUCAUCUCAGUUCGGAUUGUAGGCUGAAACUCGCCUACAUGAAGCUGGAGUUGCUAGUAAUCGCGAAUCAGAAUGUCGCGGUGAAUACGUUCCCGGGCCUUGUACACACCGCCCGUCACACCAUGAGAGUUGGCAACACCCGAAGUCCGUGAGGUAACGCGCAAGCGAGCCAGCGGCCGAAGGUGGGGUUAAUGAUUGGGGUGAAGUCGUAACAAGGUAGCC